UCUUCUUUCAAGGGAGUGGGUGGAGCUAUAAAUGCAAGGCCACAUAAGUUAGAUGGAAGAGUUGUGGAUCCCAAAAAAGCUGUGUCAAGAGAAAACUCUCAAACAUCACAUGCCUACUUAACUAUGACAAAGAUCUUUGUUGAUGGUUCUAAAACACUAACAUUCCAGGUCACUUGCAAGGUUAUUUUGAACAGCAUGGGGAAACUGAAGUCAAUGAAGUCAUGACUGACAGAGGCAGUGGACAAGGGGGGGGUUCUUUGUUUUGUUACCAUUGAAGAUCCAUGAUUACAAGGAUAAGGCUGACAUUCAGCAAGACCUUUCUAUGAAUGGCUACAACUGUGGAGUGAGAAAAGCCCUGUCAAAGCAAGAGAUAGCUAGUGCUUCAUCCAGUCCAGGAGGCCAAAGCAUUUCUAUAAAUUCUGGAGGUGGUUGUGGGGACAAUGAUAAUUUGGGUGGAGGAAGAAACUUCUGUGGUUGUGGUGGCUUUGGUUGCAGCCAGGGAAUAGCUAAAAUGGAUUUGUUAAUGACUGAAGCAAUUUCAGAUGUAGGAGAAGCUACAAUGCUUUUGGCAAUGAAAAGAACCAAUCUUCAAACUUUGGAGCAAUGAAGGGAGAAAACUUUGGAGAGGGAAGCUCUAGCCAUUACAGAGGUGUAGACCAAUGCUUUUCUAAACAGUGAAGCCAAGGUAGCUGUGGUGGUUCCAGCAGCAGCAGAAGCUAU
rnacentral:lncRNA from 1 species